UGUAGCUUGCUUCACUGUGGUUUGUGGU
rnacentral:piRNA from 1 species